AUUGAACGCUGGCGGCAGGCCUAACACAUGCAAGUCGAACGAGUGGCGGACGGGUGAGUAAUGUCUGGGAAACUGCCUGAUGGAGGGGGAUAACUACUGGAAACGGUAGCUAAUACCGCAUACCAUCGGAUGUGCCCAGAUGGGAUUAGCUAGUAGGUGGGGUAAAGGCUCACCUAGGCGACGAUCCCUAGCUGGUCUGCGUGGAGGACCAGGCACUCGGGAACGGAGGCACGGUCCAGACUCCUACGGGAGGCAGCAGUGGGGAAGGUUGCACAAUGGGCGCAAGCCUGAUGCAGCCAGGCCGCGUGUAUGAAGAAGGCCUUCGGGUUGUAAAGUACUUUCAGCGGGUGGGCGUUACCCGCAGAAGAAGCACCGGCUAACUCCGUGCCAGCAGCCGCGGUAAUAC
rnacentral:rRNA from 1 species